UNUUAGUAAUCUGCUCAUGAAUCUCAAUAGCCGCAAUUUUAUUGUGCUAAGGUAGCAUAAUCAUUUGUCUUUUAAUUAAAGACUAGAACGAAAGAUUAAACAUUUAAAUAUCUCUAUUUAAUUAAAUUUUAAAGUUAUUUUAAAUAUAAAAAAAUAUUUAUUUAUAAAAAAGACGAAAAGACCCUAUUGAACUUAACUUUAGUUUAACUGGGGUAGUAAAUUAAUUAUUAUUUUAAUUUAAAAUUAUAAAAAUUUCAAUCUAAUUUAAUUAAUUCAACCAAGUUACCAUAGGGAUAACAGCGUAAUAAUUUUUUAAAGAUCUUAUUUAAAAAAUAGAUUACGACCUCGAUGUUGAAUUAAUUUCCUAUUUAAUGCAACCAUUAAAAAAGUAAGUCUGUUCGACUUUUAAAAAAUUACAUGAUCUGAGUCAAAANCCGGAGA
rnacentral:rRNA from 1 species